rnacentral:misc_RNA from 1 species
UAUUUUAGUACGAAAGGACCAAAUAUUUAAAAUAAUUUUUUUUAGGGAAUAAUAUUAAUGUUACUUUGGCAGAAUAGUGUAAUGAAUUUAGAAUUCAUAAAUGUAAUUUAUAUUACAGGUAAUACUUGUUAAGUGAUUUUUUAGUUUCUUUAAUUAAUAGAUUGAUUUUA